AAAUAAAAUUAUAAGUGUAGGAAAUAAAAUUGUAAGUGUAGGCUUUCAGAUUGGAAUUUCCGUUGGCCUUGGCAGAAAGUGCAUCGCAUCACAGAUGAUAAGACGAACGUUCUCAGCUUCAUUUUACAAUUUUCCUUCAUUCGGGUCUUUGGCGGGGAGUUGUGUUGUGGCGUACUUACGUAACGUAAUGUCAUUGACAUUGGAUGAUAAGUGUUAAUUAAUACCUAAAGGACUGUAAGUAUUUUUUUGGAACAAUGCCGAGAAGAUCAGUUAGAAUUUUGUCGAUGCUCAAAAAUCCCGUCCAUCCGUAAGACAGCAUCCAGGAUGAAUAUGAUCUUCAAGACAUCGAACGUUGUCAAGAUGCCCUAAAUCCUGAAGAAAACCGAAUCGCACCAAUACAGACUACAGGGGAAAUUAUGGAGGAGAUAGAUUUGAUAAAACCAAAUACAAAAGGUAAACUCCAGCAUAAAUCUCUAGUAGCGCGCCAUAUGGUCUUCAGAAGAAAAAUCAGCUGUCUUAGGUUUUUUCAACCAAGAAAUUAAAAAAAGAUCUAGUACCCGGAGAAGCUCAAUGUGAAAAGUGCUUAGAAGAACAUGAUGUUUUGCCCACAAGAUCAUGGACCGACGUAAAAUUCUGCAUUAAAAACCAUCUAGACAAGAGAAAAGAUGAGUGCCUUUACUCAUAGAAAGUUAAAAACUGCCUUUGUUGUACUAUAGUGUGACAUUUUACACGUUUAAUCUACCUAUUUCUUAUUACUAAAAAAUGUACAGGUACUAGGUAGCUUUACUGAAAGCAUUGAAUUUAUAGAUAGUUAUCAAUUCAAUGCUGAAAGUACCAUUGCUGUACUAAUUAAGAUUAUUGUAGUUUUCUGAAACAUUUUUAAUUUUUCUGUUGUUCAUUGGGAUUUAUAAAAUUCCUUCUGUAUUUGUGU